UGUUGAGGUUAGUGUCUGGUGACCGUAGAUAUUUUAUUUUUUGUGUGCAAUUGUCAGUGAAGAUAAUGAGUACGCCGAAAAAUAUCGCGUUCACUCAAGCAGACAAAUACAUUUUGUUUGACUUGAUAAAAAAAUAUAAGAACAUAGUUGAAAAUAAGAAAACGGACUCUGUUUCAAAUACUGAAAAGAAGGCUACGUGGAAAAUUAUAGCCUUGGAGUUUAACGCAAGUAACGUGACAACUAAAAGAGAUGAUGGCCAGCUAAAAAGGUGUUGGGAAAAGACAAAAACCACAGCAAGGAAGCAUCGUCAAACAGAAAGAAGUCAUGCUAUGGCAACAGGUGGGGGCAAAGCUUUUGUUUCCCCACCUCAGCUGGAAGAAAUGGCAACUGUGGUUUCCUCUAUCCAGCCCUAUUUUGAUUUGGAGGUGGUUUCGGCAUGGGAUAGCAACACGAUCCACCUCCAGGAUGCCAGGGCUGACUGCAGUGCCACAACUGUUUGUGCAGAAGUAGUCGCAAUGGAUGAAGUGGCAGAUGCUCCAGACACCCCACCUCUAAUUAUUGGAGCUGCUAGGCCUACUACAUCCCAGAACUUUGAUAAUCCUGAUGAAACGUUUUUGGCUCCGAAACUGCCAAUUAACAAGAAGGGCUCCUUUUCUGUAAAGUCCGCCCACAUGGUUGAGGCAGAGGUAAAGAAAAGGAUUGAGAAAAUUGAUGAAGAGAUUAGAAUGCUUAGGGAAAGUCAUGCAGCAAAACUUAAACAAGAUGCUGAGUUGCAUGCUGCGGUAAUGCGGCAAAAUGAGGAGCUACACAAGGUUAAACUUGCAAGGGAACAACUUUUGUUGCGCCAGUUGCAGGCAGAUGAACAUAAAAGUACAGAAAAUAUUUGAAGUUAAUUUAUCAACAAUGUAAUUUUGUAUUUAGAAAUUUUGUCAUUGUUAAUUUAGUUUUGUAUUUAGAAUUUGUCCAUUUACAUAAAAUAAAAAAAUGUUUAUCUUCAUUUACUUUUAAUUGCAAAACCUGUUUGUACUAAUUGCAUGAUUAAAGUUUGAAGGGGGCUUAUAAUGUUGCAGCACUUUAUAAUUUAUAACUUUUGUAUGAUGAAAUUAACAUUAAAAACAAAACUGAAAAAAAAAAAACACUUCGUUAAUGGUGUUAUGGAAGUAAGGCUGUGUACGUAAUACAAGAAACAAAUAAUUGUCUUAUUACAUGGGAUGGUAAAACGGUGAUUACUGCUAAACUAUUAGGAAUUUUUUAUCUCAGCCUUUUUUUUUAUUAAAUUCAGGAAGUUGAAGAGCAUAGAAUUAAGUUAUUUUGGCAUUUUUAAUUAUAUUAUUUCAGAAGUUUAUAUUUCUGAUGAAUUUAAAUUAAUUUUUUUUAUUUGUAAAAAAAUACUUGGAUAACUGAUAAACUUGUUGUUUUGUUCAAACUUCCUUGUUAAUAUGCAGGUUGUUCAAAUUCUGGAAAGUCAGGGAAAAGCAAUAAAUUUACUUAAAACAUGGAAAAGUCAUGGAAAUUUCUCAAUGAUAGUAAUUUGAGGGAGAAAUGUCAUGCUCUGCUAUGCCAUCAUCCAGACUUUAAACAUGUAUUUGGUUUUUCAGAUGGUGUUCUAGUACAUAGUCACACAUUGUGUAAAAUGGCAUAUGCAAGGUUCUGUUAGAACUAGUGCAUCUAUAGGGAUGGUGUAGAUUGAAUUGUCCUUAAUUCUUUAAGAAAAUUGUAAAGUAUGUAAAUCAUUCAAAUGACUCAUCAGGGAAUUUUGUCAUUGGAAAUUUUAUGGAUAUUUGUGUGUGCAUAUUUAUUCUUCCAAGUUGUAUGUUAAAACAUAAAUAAUUCAACAAUGAUAAGCUAUUUAUAGAUGACUGGUUCUAUUACUUUUACUAAAGUGAUUAGAACUCUAAUUUACAUCUGCCUAGUAAAGUUUAUUUAUUUAAUUAUAUGUACCUACUAUUUAUAGCAAAUGUUUUUUUUUACAAAAGUCAUUAGAAUUUUAACUAACAUCAGCCUUAUGUAGU